AUGAAUAUGUAUCUAUUAAUAGUUUUCCGAAUUUUAUUAACAUAUCUAACCUAUAAAUAGGAAUUUCCUAUAGAAAGUCCUUCCGGGAGGCAUCAUUUCUUGGCAGAUCACUGGUGUUGUGUCUCCUUACCCUCAUUAAUCUACUUCUAAUGUUAGAGUAUAUGGUACAAGUACGAAAGUUUUUAAAUUCCUAUUUAUGCUAAGAUCUCUUCUAAUUGCAUUUUAGUAUCUUAGAACAUCUAAUGCUGAUUAAUAUCGUGAUUUCCUGGACUUCAACUAAAGAUGAGCCCAUCAGUGAUCGAGUGAAUAACAUUAUUGAACACUAGUUACGAGUUUGCAUCUUACCAAUGGGAUUUUCCGAGAUUUCUUCACAUGUCUAAUACCUAAAUAGGAGCCAGUUUCUUAUAGAAAGUGCUCUCGAAAGGCACCUUCUCCUUAGCAGAAGCUUUUUAUUCUGUUAAUUUGGAGAUUCUGUACAUUUUGUUGAAGAAGCUGCGUCUGUCUCUAUGGAUCAUCGGAUGGACAUAGUAGAUCGCCAGAUAGAUCGAUCCUCGCCAUUCAAUUUUCGGACGACAUCAGUGGCACACUCAGAGAGAGC